AACCUCGGGUUUCUCUUCAUUCACGCACAAAUCUUUCGCCUUUCACUAAAGAUUUCCGUGGAGGGGAACAAAUGGUAAAUUCUAAUUCUAACCAGCUGUUCACACUGCAACAGAU
ensembl:snRNA U5 U5 spliceosomal RNA